CCAAAGGCUCUUUUCAGAGCCACCCAUAUUUUCAGAAGGAGAGCUG
rfam:Oryctolagus cuniculus unplaced genomic scaffold chrTn0049, whole genome shotgun sequence.